UUUACUGUGAGGCUCACAAUCAACACGGAUCUCAGAGAUCAGACGCUGUUACUGUCAUUGUUAAAGGAUGUCUGGUGAUGUUGUACAUAUCCAUUGGAGUGGUUUGUGGAGCUGCAGUUAUCAUCACAGUGUUGCUGAUUUGGAGAAGCAGGGUGAAAAAGAGAAAAGACAAAC